rnacentral:rRNA from 1 species
UACGUAGGGUGCAAGCGUUGUCCGGAAUUAUUGGGCGUAAAGAGCUCGUAGGCGGUCUGUCGCGUCGGCUGUGAAAUCCCGGAGCUCAACUCCGGGUCUGCAGUCGAUACGGGCAAACUGGAGUACUGCAGGGGAGACUGGAAUUCCUGGUGUAGCGGUGAAAUGCGCAGAUAUCAGGAGGAACACCAGUGGCGAAGGCGGGUCUCUGGGCAGUAACUGACGCUGAGGAGCGAAAGCGUGGGGAGCGAACAGG